AGCGUACUGUACCCGGCGACCGUGUAAGACGUUGUUGGUCUUGUGGGGAAGGUGGCAGCUUGAGCAGAGGCCACACGGGAGGAGCUCGUCGCCGAGGAGAGGCUCACAGUAAGCUCCUGUCCCCUGCUUCCAGGGAAUGUCUUCAGAAAUCACGUGAAUGGUUCAAGUCUUGAGGACAAACCAAUUUAGUUGCUGCUUGGGACAGACAACAGAAGGGAAGCCCACUGCUUGCAACCAAGUUUCUGCCAGCAACAGCCAGGCAGCCAUUAUAAUGGAACCCGUGCUCCUUGGAGAAAUGACUGAGUCCAUAGCCGAGGCAGGAGGAUUACAAGAGGAGCCUGGAACAUUUUGUAGUAUCGGCAAGGAAACACUCAAAGAAUGAUGCCCGAAGGAUGCCCACUUGAAACAGCUCCUACUGACCAAAUCCGGAACAAUUCGAGCAUGAAAAUAGUAACAAUAAUGGAUUAUAAUCCAUUGAAUAAAAUAGGAGACCAUAAGUCCAUACAGACAAAAGUGGAGAAGCCUGGUAGAUAUUAAUCAAGCAGGACAAGUCAAAAUCAUGAACCCGCAGAGAGGAUGCAAUGAAAGAACCCAGCAUCACUUCCACGAUAUUCCCACUGAAAUGCAAUGUAAAUCUAAACAUGAAAAAAUGACACAACCCAAACUGAGUGAUAUUGUAUGAAAGAACUGGCCUGUAAUCUUCAAAAUGUCAUGGACAUGAGAGUCAAGGAAAGACUGAAGAAUUGCUUCCUAUUGAAGGAGACUAAAGAAACGCAGAGAAAUGCAAGGCAUGAUUCUGAACUGGAUUCUUUUGCCGUGAAAGGUGUUAGUUUUUGCCACAAUUGGCAAAACUUGAACGGGGUGUGAAGAUUAGAUGGUUGUAAUGUAUCCGUGUUAAUUCCUUGAUUUGUUGGUUAUAUUGUGGUUAUGUCAGAGAAUGUCCUUGUUUAUAGGAAACACAUAUUAAAGUAUUUGAAGGGGGUUGGGCAAUAUACUCCCGAAUGGGUCAGGAAACUUUCUAGAAGUUUGUGAUUGUUUCUAAAUAACGUUAUUUACUUAAUUAAAUUAAGGUUUUAAUUAAACUGUUAAAUGCACCCUUUGACCUGGAAAUUCUACUUUCAGGAAUUUUUCCUACAGAUGUCCUUGCUCACAUGUGAAAUAGCCUAUGUGUACAAGCUAUUCAGUGCAAUUGUCUCAUAAAGCCAAAAUUUGAAAAUAACCUAAAUAAUCACCAUGGAGGAGCGUGGGACUGGGGGAGCAGGACCCAGGGAGGGGUCCAUCGCACUUGAUCCGCAGGGAGCAUCAAAGCCUGUUUGAGGGAAUUGCUUCUGAGGGGAAAAUGAAAGUGGUUGGCCUCUCUCAGGCAGAUGUAGGGGAACUUGAAGGAUCAGAGCAGAGCCAACCUGUGAGUGCAGAACCCUCGGGAGACAGUAAUCCCCCUCUGAUUUCCUCCCCCAGCAACUCCAACUCCGAGGCUGCAAAGGGCCAACAGGGACUGGCAGGACAGUUUGCAGAGGGGAGGAUCUGACUUCCUCUCUCUGGCAGAACAAAAGCCUCUUGUCUGGGAAGACUUUGAAGAAGUUGAUGCCUGAGCCUCGUCUUGGAUUUGAGAGCUCAGCCCACGGCGAGUCCUCACACCGAGUCCCUUUAAAAAGCUGCCUAUGGAGCUCACGGAGCUGCGAUGGCUCAGCCCGCUGGCACCAUCUAGUGUUGGAUGAGGUGGGGUCCUCUGCGGGUGGAGAGGGGAGGUUUAGGGAAGGAGGGUGAGGUUGACCGGAAAGUUGAAAUCCACCCUGUAUCAGAGCUUGGGGCAGCUUCCGCCUCCUGGGUUGGGGCGUGGGAGAAGUGUGACCCAGGAGUUUAUGAGCAAUGAGUCUUGGACUCCAUUUUAAUUUUCUAGGGCAGCUGUGACAAAUUACCACUAACUGGGUGGAUUAAAGCAACAAAAAUGUAUUCUCUCACAGUUCUGGAAGCUAAAAGUCCAAAAUCAAGGUGUCAGUAGGGCCAUUCUCCCACUGAAGGCUUUACCCCUUCCUGCUUCUGGUGGCUGCCAGAAAUUCUUGUCAUUUGUUGGCUUAUAGAUGCAUCACUCCAAUCUCUGCCUCAGUCUUCACGUGGCGUUCUUCCCCGUAUGUCUGUAUCCAAAUGUCCCUCUACUUAUGAGGACACCAGUGAUCAGAUUAAGAUCUGCCCAAUCCAGUACGACUUCAUCUUGAUUACGUCUGCAAAGACCCUAUGUCCAAAUAAGGUCACAGUCACAGGUACCUGGGGUUGGGACUUGAACAUAUCUUUUUGGGGAGCACCAUUCAAGCCACAACAGACUUUUGUUUUCAUCCAACAGAUGUCCCUGGGCACCUGCAAAGUGCCAGUCUUGAGCUGGGGGGCUGGGCCUGCGGAGCUGACUACAUAGAGUCCGCUCUGUCUUUGAGGUUCUCACGUGCGGCUCUUUAAUAGUCUCACCAGUGAUCUGUGGCCUCCUGCCUUACCCUUGAUUCCUCAGCACCCAGCAGGUCAGGCCCAGAGACUGAGUAUUUCAUUGAAGGAGGCAAUUAGGACCAAGAAAGGGCAGGAGAGAGGAAAUAAGGACUGCAGGAAUGAGGAGGAGGGAUAUGACACAGAGGGAAAAGGGAGUGCAGAACAGUUGGCGAGAGCUUUGCAGAGCAAGUUUCCUUCUAGCUGGGUCUUGCAGCCAUGGGAGUUUGCCAGACAGAAAAGAGUUGAGCGCGGGGAGAGACUUUCCAGGCAGAGCUGAAAGUGUGAGCAUUGGGUUAGAACUGUGAAAGGUGCUGUGACGUUUGGUUGGAAAAGGUUGUAUGGGAGGGGGUGUGCUGUCAAAUGGCACGGACCUGAAAACGGUGGCUCUAUAAGGAAGGGUCUUGACAGCCAUUGUCAGGGCUUUUAACAUUAUCCCAUAGGUGGAGGGGCACCCUAGGAGGCUUUAACGCAUGCUCUAGGUGUCACAGUUACCAGGAGUAGAGACUGUGCAGCAGGCAGAGGUCAUGGAAAAGGGGUCCAGAGGGCCUCUUUGACUAAAAAUGUCCGGUCACAGAACGGCCCCCACUUUCUGGCAGCACCUAGUCCAGAGGAAAACCAAGCUGCCUUGAAACUUCCCCAAAAUGCUUAACACAAGCCCGACUUCUAACAUAGGCCCCUGCUAGCAUCUGCUUCCUGAGGUGUGCAAUCUCUCUCACGGCAACAAGUACCAAGAAAUCCAAUCUGGGUGACUAUAGAUGUGACCAGAAGAGUAAUUGGCUAUGGGCAUCAAGGUGGUUCAAAAACCCUUUUAAUUUCUAGUCUGAUGAGCGUUGUUAACAAUGAACCAGAGUUUGAUUUUAUCAAAUGCUUUUUCUGCACCUAUUUAGAUGCAAACAUGUUUUUCUGUAAUAUGUUAAUGUAAUGUAUUAUAUUGAAUAGUAAUUGAAUUUAUUGCUAUUAAACCAUCCUUGUAUUCUUGAUAAAUCCAAUUUGGUUAUGAUAAGAGCAUGUGGGAGUGCUUGCAUGUGUGUUUUAAAAUACACUGCUGUUUUUUAUUUAUGCAUUUAUGUUUAUAAGUGAAAAUGGUCCAUUAUUUUCUUUUCUUGUCCUUGUUUGCUAUUGGAGCUA